rnacentral:rRNA from 1 species
CAGCAGCCGCGGUAAUACGGAGGGUGCAAGCGUUAAUCGGAAUUACUGGGCGUAAAGCGCACGCAGGCGGUUUGUUAAGUCAGAUGUGAAAUCCCCGAGCUUAACUUGGGAACUGCAUUUGAAACUGGCAAGCUAGAGUCUUGUAGAGGGGGGUAGAAUUCCAGGUGUAGCGGUGAAAUGCGUAGAGAUCUGGAGGAAUACCGGUGGCGAAGGCGGCCCCCUGGACAAAGACUGACGCUCAGGUGCGAAGGCGUGGUGAGCAAACAGGAUUAGAUACCCCGGUAGUCCCUGUCUCUUAUAC